rnacentral:rRNA from 1 species
GAUGAACGCUAGCUACAGGCUUAACACAUGCAAGUCGAGGGGUAGCAGGGUAGCAAUACCGCUGACGACCGGCGCACGGGUGAGUAACACGUAUCCAACCUUCCCAUAACUCAGGGAUAGCCUUUCGAAAGAAAGAUUAAUACCUGAUAGUACUUAAGAAAGGCAUCUUUUUUAAGUUAAAGAUUUAUUGGUUAUGGAUGGGGAUGCGUUCCAUUAGAUAGUUGGUGAGGUAACGGCUCACCAAGUCUUCGAUGGAUAGGGGUGCUGAGAGGAAGGUCCCCCACAUUGGUACUGAGACACGGACCAAACUCCUACGGGAGGCAGCAGUGAGGAAUAUUGGACAAUGGGCGAGAGCCUGAACCAGCCAAGUAGCGUGAAGGAUGAAGGUCCUAUGGAUUGUGAACUUCUUUUAUAGUAGAAUAAAGUGAUCCACGUGUGGAUUUUUGUAUGUAUACUAUGAAUAAGGAUCGGCUAACUCCGUGCCAGCAGCCGCCGUAA